rnacentral:snRNA from 1 species
AUCCUCUGGCAGCAUAUAUCCUGUCCUUGGAACAAUACAGAGAAGACAGGCAUGGCCUCUGCACCGGUGUGACACGGAUUCAUGAAGCAGUUGGCCUGGUUUUC